GGAUAAGAAAAGAGCAGAUUAGGUGAGGGAACAAACGCGAGUUAAUGAUAUCUUAGUUGAAAUCAAGAAAAAAAUGGGCAUGGGCAGGACACGUAAUGAGGAGGGAAGAUAACCGAUGGUCAUUAAGAGUUACAGAAUGGAUUCCAAGGGAAGGGAAGCGUAGCAGAGGGCGGCAGAAAGUUAGGUGGCCGGAUGAGAUUAAGAGAAGUUUGCAGGGAUAACAUGGCCACAAUUAGUACAUGACCGGGGUAGUUGGAGAAGUAUGAGAGAGGCCUUUGCCCUGCAGUGGGCGUAACCAGGCCGAUGUUGAUGUUGUUGAUGUUGAACUUCAUUUCACAUGCUGCCAUGCUUCAGUGGCUGCAUUUUGACUGUGGCAAAUCCAAAAGCACCUGUCUGUUGUGAUAUACUAAAGAACCAUAAGUGAUUGCUUUCAUAAUUUCGUAACCAAUUUAUUUUACAGAGGCUGCCACAUUAGUCAAAAGACUCAAAAGAGUACUUGGUAAAGUGGAAAAUCAAGCAGAGCAGACAGCUGGAGCCUCUGUUGCUUGCCCAAAGGUGGACAUUGGGGGCGGUGUGAGUGUCGAGCAAGGCACCGUCGAGAAACUUUGCCGAGUUUGCGAAAGUGGCCCAGGCAAAUUUGCCAGGGCUCUUUUGCGGAAUGUAUUUACUCCAGAAGAACUAUGGGGCAAAACACUCCUGGGUGAAAAGAGCAACCUCCACUUGAACCAACCACUCAAGAAGCCCUUGGACCCUGUUCGUGUCCAAGCUGUGAUUGGGAACUGCAGGCCCCAGAAGCGGUGGACAGCCCAACUGGCCAUGUGGAGCUACAUAAACAAAAGAAGGACCCGCCCUUACUGCAG